CACAGCACGUGUUGUGCAUGCUUGAAGUCUGAAGAGGUCAGAAGAGGCAUGAGAUCCCCGGGACUGAUUACAGAUGGCUAUGAGAUGCCAUGCGGGUGCUGGGAACUGAACACAGGUCCUGUGCAAGAGCUCGUCUCGUGCUCUUAAGCCCCGAUCGAUCGGUCUCUUCAGCACCUAGAGGAUCGAGCAUCCUGACCCCUCUGUGUGCCACUGUGAUUCUGGAAAAGACACUCUUCCACUCGGAGUCACAGUUUCCUCUGCUGCAGAUACGGUUCGUGAUGUCCAUGCAACCUCUCUCAGGAGACAGGAAGUGGGUAGUGGGUGGCAGGACCAGAGACUCGUGUCUCCUCUUUUUUUUCUUUUUUUUUUUUUAAAGAGGUCCUUUAUUGAAAGGGGGGAGGAAGCCAGGAAGAGAACGCUUGGGUCUCCUCCUUAAGGCUGGGGCAGCUCUGAAGAAGCCACACAGAGUAAGGUUUUGUUUGUUUUGAACACUUUCGGUGCUGGCCCAGAACGCUUAAAGGAAAUGCUUUAAACGUGUUGGCAAUCUGUGCUCUGAGUGAGACCACGGCCUCUGAGCCCAGACAGAUCAGUCCAAGCUCUGGCCCUGCCCCAAGUGUUUGUGUGUUUAACUUCUCAAGGGUUUCCACUGAGGGGAACAAAAGCCCAGAAGUUUCCCCGAAGUCCUUUGGCUUAAUCCUCCCAAGAGUCAUUGAAGCCUCUCAAGAUUGAUCCAGAAAGUGGAGGACACUUCAAGACUCUGCUUUUCAUAUUUGUCUGUUCCUCUUCAACAAACCCACUUGAGGUUUUUGUUGUUGUUUUUUUUUUUUUUUCUUUUUAUGCCCCAGUGACAACAUAACACUGAAGUUCAAGAAUUAUGUCUAGGGUCACAGUGGCAGGAAGUGGCUGAACAGGGAGGCAUCUUUCAAGAAUCUUCUCUCCAUGCACAGAGAGAAAGAAAGAGCUAAGACUGCAACGGGCUCUCAGGCUGAGAAACCGGAAAGAACGGGUUUUGACAGCAUUCGACAGGAAGAUGGCAAGGUUUAAGCAAAGGGUGCAAACCACAGGCUGGAAGCUCCAGAUGCCUUGAUGACGUCACGCCCAUGGAGCCGGCCCUGUGCCUGACUUGAUGUUCAGCUGGAUUGAAAGUUGGAGCACAAAGGAACAGACAGUUUUAAGGGAACCAGCAGAUAAAUUUGUAUUUCUGGUUGGGUAAGAAGGAUGAAGACUUAACAAAAAUCAAACUACUGGUUUUUGUGGAUGAAAGUCCCUGGAAAGGAGAUAGAUGUACCCGCCUGACCACAGCAGGGAUCUCAGUAUCUGAGGUUCUAAUGUUCAGUAUCUAAUGUUCCAGGUCCUGAGCCAAAUUACUUUGGGCCAAUCAUUAGCCUCCUUAACAGCCACCGAUCGCCUUCUGUAUGCGCCCUAACAGCUCUGUGGCCCUUAGCUUCCUGCUCUCUCAGAACACGAUGUUUGUAAAACAAACAAUCACAAAACAAAACGAAACAAAACGAAACAGAGAACUCUGUUCCCAAGCCAUGGCCAUCCCUACUGGCUCCAGAACUCUGAUCCCCUUCGAGAAACGGAACUUCGUGAACGCGUGUGGCGAGAGCAUUAAAUAGACACCAGCUCUCCUGUGUUCUGCACUCACUUCCCAGGGAAGCCAUACACCUAAUAAACUGCCCAGCCAGAGCUGGCUUGCACUGCUGAUAGCCUCAGCAGGCACUGACCUUGGCACCGUGACAAGGGCAACAUUUCCAAGUGGAUGAGCGCCUCCUGAACAAAGUGUCCAAUGUACCAGGAAUAAACAGGCCUUUCAUCAAC